rnacentral:rRNA from 1 species
CCUACGGGAGGCAGCAGUGAGGAAUACUGGUCAAUGGGCGAGAGCCUGAACCAGCCAAGUCGCGUGAGGGAAGACGGUCCUAUGGAUUGUAAACCUCUUUUGCCGGGGAGCAAAAAGCGGUACGUGUACCGCAUCGAGAGUACCCGGAGAAAAAGCAUCGGCUAACUCCGUGCCAGCAGCCGCGGUAAUACGUAGGGAGCGAGCGUUGUCCGGAUUUACUGGGUGUAAAGGGUGCGCAGGCGGCUCUGCAAGUCAGGCGUGAAAGCUAGGGGCUCAACCCCUAAACUGCGCUUGAAUCUGUGGAG